rnacentral:rRNA from 1 species
UGGGGAAUAUUGGACAAUGGGCGAAAGCCUGAUCCAGCCAUGCCGCAUGUGUGAAGAAGGCCUUUUGGUUGUAAAGCACUGUAAGCGAGGAGGAGGCUACUAGUACUAAUACUACUGGAUAGUGGACGUUACUCGCAGAAUAAGCACCGGCUAACUCUGUGCCAGCAGCCGCGGUAAUACAGAGGGUGCGAGCGUUAAUCGGAUUUACUGGGCGUAAAGCGUGCGUAGGCGGCUGAUUAAGUCGGAUGUGAAAUCCCUGAGCUUAACUUAGGAAUUGCAUUCGAUACUGGUCAGCUAGAGUAUGGGAGAGGAUGGUAGAAUUCCAGGUGUAGCGGUGAAAUGCGUAGAGAUCUGGAGGAAUACCGAUGGCGAAGGCAGCCAUCUGGCCUAAUACUGACGCUGAGGUACGAAAGCAUGGGGAGCAAACAGG